rnacentral:tRNA from 1 species
UGGGAUAUAGUUCAGCAGGUAGAACAACGGUUUUUGAUAUCGCAGGUCGGUGGUUCGAGUCCAUCUAUCCCAG